GUGAACGCUGGCGGUAGGCCUAACACAUGCAAGUCGAACGGCAGCACAGUAAGCGCUUGCUCUUACGGGUGGCGAGUGGCGGACGGGUGAGGAAUACAUCGGAAUCUACUUUUUCGUGGGGGAUAACGUAGGGAAACUUACGCUAAUACCGCAUACGACCUACGGGUGAAAGCAGGGGAUCUUCGGACCUUGCGCGAUUGCAUGAGCCGAUGUCGGAUUAGCUAGUUGGCGGGGUAAAGGCUCACCAAGGCGACGAUCCGUAGCUGGUCUGAGAGGAUGAUCAGCCACACUGGAAAUGAGACACGGUCCAGACUCCUACGGGAGGCAGCAGUGGGGAAUAUUGGACAAUGGGCGCAAGCCUGAUCCAGCCAUACCGCGUGGGUGAAGAAGGCCUUCGGGUUGUAAAGCCCUUUUGUUGGGAAAGAAAAGCAGCAGGUUAAUACCCCGCUGUUCUGACGGUACCCAAAGAAUAAGCACCGGCUAACUUCGU
rnacentral:rRNA from 1 species